GUCGAACGGUAAGGCCCUUUCGGGGGUACACGAGUGGCGAACGGGUGAGUAACACGUGGGUAAUCUGCCCUGCACUUCGGGAUAAGCCUGGGAAACCGGGUCUAAUACCGGAUAUGAGCUCCUGCCGCAUGGUGGGGGUUGGAAAGUUUUUCGGUGCAGGAUGAGUCCGCGGCCUAUCAGCUUGUUGGUGGGGUAAUGGCCUACCAAGGCGACGACGGGUAGCCGGCCUGAGAGGGUGAUCGGCCACACUGGGACUGAGACACGGCCCAGACUCCUACGGGAGGCAGCAGUGGGGAAUAUUGCACAAUGGGCGAAAGCCUGAUGCAGCGACGCCGCGUGGGGGAUGACGGUCUUCGGAUUGUAAACUCCUUUCAGUAGGGACGAAGCGAAAGUGACAGUACCUGCAGAAGAAGCACCGGCCAACUACGUGCCAGCAGCCGCGGUAAUACGUAGGGUGCAAGCGUUGUCCGGAAUUACUGGGCGUAAAGAGCUCGUAUGCGGUUUGUCACGUCGUCUGUGAAAUCCUCCAGCUCAACUGGGGGCGUGCAGGCGAUACGGGCAGACUUGAGUACUACAGGGGAGACUGGAAUUCCUGGUGUAGCGGUGAAAUGCGCAGAUAUCAUGACGAAC
rnacentral:rRNA from 1 species